AUUGAACGCUGGCGGCAGGCCUAACACAUGCAAGUAGCACGAGCGGCGGACGGGUGAGUAAUGUCUGGGAAACUGCCUGAUGGAGGGGGAUAACUAUUGGAAACGGUAGCUAAUACAGCAUACCAUCAGAUGUGCCCAGAUGGGAUUAGCUUGUUGGUGGGGUAACGGCUCACCAAGGAGACGAUCCCUAGCUGGUCUGAGAGGAUGACCAGCCACACUGUGACUGAGACACGGUCCAGACUCCUACGGGAGGCAGCAGUGGGGAAUAUUGCUCAAUGGGCGAAAGCCUGAUGCAGCCAUGCCGCGUGUAUGAAGAAGGCCGUCGGGUUGUAAAGUACUUUCAGCGGGGAGGCGUUACCCGCAGAAGAAGCACCGGCUAACUCCGUGCCAGCCGCCGCGGUAAUUC
rnacentral:rRNA from 1 species